rnacentral:pre_miRNA from 1 species
GUGCUGGGCACGCAAUAAGCAUGUGAGCAUUAUUUCAUAGACUACUCAAACCUCUCAAAGGUAGGGAUAGACCUCUGAGAUGCUUUGAGUAGUCAAUGGAAUAAUGAUGCUGUCCAUAAACUUGAUGUGUGG